rnacentral:rRNA from 1 species
GACGAACGCUGGCGGUGCGCCUAACACAUGCAAGUCGAACGGUGAACCGGGCUUCGGCCCGGGGAUCAGUGGCGAACGGGUGCGUAACACGUGGGCAACCUGCCCCCGACCCUGGGAUAACCCCGGGAAACCGGAGCUAAUACCGGAUACUCUCCUCUGACCACCUGGUCGGAUGAGGAAAGGUCCGCCGGUCGGGGAUGGGCCCGCGGCCUAUCAGCUUGUUGGUGGGGUAACGGCCUACCAAGGCAUCGACGGGUAGCUGGUCGAGAGGACGACCAGCCACACUGGGACUGAGACACGGCCCAGACUCCUACGGGAGGCAGCAGUGGGGAAUCUUGCGCAAUGGGCGAAAGCCUGACGCAGCGACACCGCGUGGGGGAUGAAGGCCUUUC